UAUGGUGGAAAGUGGGUCCAAGACUACCCCUGGGUUAGACCCCUGCCUUGCCCCAUCCGCUCCUCCCAAGCCCUGGUUGCGGCGCUUCCUGGGCGGAUGGUUUGGACUUGCUGCUGCAGCUGCGGUUCUGCUGUGUCAUGCAAGAAGGAGGCGGCGGCGGCGGCCGGAGCUGGAGGGGGAGGAGGGGAGGAACCUGAUCCUCGGUAGCGAAGGGCUGGAGGCAAACACCGAGCUCCCCCUGAGCCGCCUGGGAGCAGGGAGGGUUCUGCUACCCUGAGGGGCCCUCCCCGCGGGGCAGAGGGGACCAGCCCAACAUGGCUUCCAACACAGAGACCAGAAGGACCCAAUAAGAGACCGAAGACACGACUGAUAAUACAGAAAGGAGGGUGAUGCUGUGUGCAAGGCAGAUACAAGAUGGUUUUUCCAUAAGAGGAAGUGAUCAUGGCAACCAUGACCUUCUCUGACCUUCUCUCUUCCAAGAGGCUGUUGGGAAGGUGGGAUGACCUAGGAUUGACCUUGGACUUGACAUCACAGAAGCCAUUUCAACCUUCACAGGUGGGAGGAAGUCACAGCAUCUACUUCUGAAUCUGUGCUUGCCUUGAGGAAAAACGGCAUGGCACAGGAAUGUGGACGCUUUCAACCAGAGGAUUCUGUACGACGGUGUCGGCACACACUCAUCCUCGUCUACGGCCAAACGUUGGUUUCUCAUUUCUAGAAGAUGAAAGAUGUGAUGACUCAGGAAAAACUGGAAUCUUAGUAACUGUGGUGGGCAUUGAGCCUUGCCGUCCACAAGAGAAAGCUUGCUGCUCGAGAUGUGAGUCUUCAGAUGUUCCUGCCGCCAUAUCUGACAGCUGCUGCCAAGAUUCCCUGGUGGGAUGGACUCUUAUACCUCAACAACCAGAAGCCCAAGUAAACUCUUCUAUAAAUUGAA
rnacentral:lncRNA from 1 species